UCCCAUUCUCACCGCACCCAG
rnacentral:miRNA from 1 species